rnacentral:rRNA from 1 species
GUACAGGUGCUGCAUGGCUGUCGUCAGCUCGUGUCGUGAGAUGUUCGGUUAAGUCCGCUAACGAGCGCAACCCUCGCUGUGUGUUACAAGUGUCACACGGAACUGCCGGUCAUAAACCGGAGGAAGGUGGGGAUGACGUCAAGUCAGCAUGGCCUUUAUAUCCUGGGCUACACACACGCUACAAUGGGAAGGGACAAUAGGUUGCGAAGCCGCGAGGCGGAGCCAAUCCAGCAAACUUCCCUCAGUUCAGAUUGCAGGCUGCAACUCGCCUGCAUGAAGUUGGAGUUGCUAGUAAACGCAGGUCAGCCAUACUGCGUUGAAUACGUUCCCGGGGCUU